rnacentral:rRNA from 1 species
AACGAACGCUGGCGGCGUGCUUAACACAUGCAAGUCGAACGGAAAGGCCCUGCUUUUGUGGGGUGCUCGAGUGGCGAACGGGUGAGUAACACGUGAGUAACCUGCCCUUGACUUUGGGAUAACUUCAGGAAACUGGGGCUAAUACCGGAUAGGAGCUCCUGCUGCAUGGUGGGGGUUGGAAAGUUUCGGCGGUUGGGGAUGGACUCGCGGCUUAUCAGCUUGUUGGUGGGGUAGUGGCUUACCAAGGCUUUGACGGGUAGCCGGCCUGAGAGGGUGACCGGCCACAUUGGGACUGAGAUACGGCCCAGACUCCUACGGGAGGCAGCAGUGGGGAAUAUUGCACAAUGGGCGGAAGCCUGAUGCAGCAACGCCGCGUGCGGGAUGAAGGCCUUCGGGUUGUAAACCGCUUUCGCCUGUGACGAAGCGUGAGUGACGGUAAUGGGUAAAGAAGCACCGGCUAACUACGUG